CCUACGGGGGGCAGCAGUGAGGAAUAUUGGUCAAUGGUCGGGAGACUGAACCAGCCAAGCCGCGUGAGGGAUGAAGGUACAGAGUAUCGUAAACCUCUUUUGUCAGGGAACAAAGGCGGGGACGUGUCCCCGGAUGAGUGUACCUGAAGAAAAAGCAUCGGCUAACUCCGUGCCAGCAGCCGCGGUAAUACGGAGGAUGCGAGCGGUAUCCGGAUUUAGUGGGUUUAAAGGGUGCGCAGGCGGUCUGGUAAGUCAGCGGUAAAAGCCCGGGGCACAACCCCGGCCCGCCGUUGAAACUGGCAGUCUCGAGUUGGAGAGAAGUAUGCGGAAUGCGCGGUGUAGCGGUGUAAUGCAGAGAUAUCGCGCAGAACUCCGAUUGCGAAGGUAGCAUGCCGGCUCCACACUGACGCUGAGGCACGAAAGCGUGGGUAUCGAACAGGAUUAGAUACCCGAGUAGUC
rnacentral:rRNA from 1 species